rnacentral:ncRNA from 1 species
AUGUUGAUAUAAAACCGGAUCACCAAGGGUUCGGCUGUUCGCCGAUUAAAGUGGUACGUGAGUUGGGUUUAGAACGUCGUGAGACAGUUU